rnacentral:misc_RNA from 1 species
GUGAAUCAUCGAAUUUUUGAACGCAAAUUGCACUCUCUUCGCAGAGUAUGCGUGUUUGAGGGUCAGGCUAAAAAAAAUCGACAUCGUUGGUGUUUCGCGGUGGCGUUCGUCGGGAAUUGGGUUAUCUUAAAUCUUUGGUUUAUGCGGCUUAAAAGUAUCUUUACGAUUCCAUGACGGGUUCCUAG